rnacentral:rRNA from 1 species
UACAGAGGUGGCAAGCGUUGUUCGGAAUUACUGGGCGUAAAGAGCGUGUAGGCGGCUUGGUAAGUCCGCUGUGAAAGUCCAGGGCUCAACCCUGGAAAGCCGGUGGAAACUGUCAAGCUUGAGUCCGGAAGAGGCGAGUGGAAUUCCUGGUGUAGCGGUGAAAUGCGCAGAUAUCAGGAGGAACACCAAUGGCGAAGGCAGCUCGCUGGGACGGUACUGACGCUGAGACGCGAAAGCGUGGGGAGCAAACAGG